rfam:Verrucomicrobia bacterium GWF2_51_19 gwf2_scaffold_2845, whole genome shotgun sequence.
UCUGGUGAAUAUAGGCGAGGGGAAACACACGUUCCCAUUCCGAACACGCUCGUUAAGCCUUCAGCCGCCGAUGGUAGUGCCUUCACGAUUAGGUGUGAGAGUAGGUCGUUGCCAGUA